rnacentral:rRNA from 1 species
UAGUGAGUUUGAUCCUGGCUCAGGAUGAACGCUGGCGGUCUGCUUAACACAUGCAAGUCGAACGAGACCUUCGGGUCUAGUGGCGCACGGGUGCGUAACGCGUGGGAAUCUGCCCUUGGGUUCGGAAUAACAGUUAGAAAUGACUGCUAAUACCGGAUGAUGUCUUCGGACCAAAGAUUUAUCGCCCAGGGAUGAGCCCGCGUAGGAUUAGCUAGUUGGUGGGGUAAUGGCUCACCAAGGCGACGAUCGGUAGCUGGUCUGAGAGGAUGAUCAGCCACACUGGAACUGAGA